CAACCCACAUAAAGCACCCCGCCAUCCACCUCCCGACCCCACUCCAAAUCUCCCCACACACUUUCCCAGAGAUUCCCCUACACUCUUCUGCUUAACCUCUGUGCCCUACUCCAUCCAAAUAAUUGACAAAUGGUAGCUGAUCUUCCAAGAGUGACCGAGAUUGCUCGAGAGGACUGUGCAUGUUUGAGAGAAGAAGGCCAGAAACAGAGCUUGGAGGAGCCCCAGCAAUUCAAGGCAGUCUGAGGAGGAAGGGCAAUGAAGGGUACUGAGAGGCAUUAGGUCAGAGAAGCGGAGACUGCCCAGAGAGACCAGGCUACUGUGUGCUAGGCUGUGUGAUAAAUGGGGCACAAAGAUUAUCUUAUCUGCAAGUGGAAAUCAAGACAAGGAAGGGACAGCCUCGGGAAAGUAAGAUCCAAAUGCAACUUUGCUGGUGCCAGCGUGCUGCCCUCUUCUGGUGACUCAGACUGGGACAUCAUGCUUCAGAAGGAUUUGAGCUUCUGGAGCUUCACUAUCCUGGCUGUCUUUCGAGAAGUUACUCCGUUAUUGGACAUAGCACAGACUGGUCCAGACAUAGAUAUAAGUGCUUCUGUCUUCUCUCACAUUACAUGUGUGUCUUUGUGUUCCUGAUGAGUUGCGGGGGAGGUGAAUGUGUGUCAACUGUGUGUGUGGAGGUCAGAGGACGACAGCCUUUGGGAACCGCCUCUCUCCUUCCUCUCUAUGCAGGUUGCAGGUCACCAGGCUUUCAUGAUACCCACAAAGGCUAGAAGAAGACAUCAGGCUGCCUGAAACCGGAGUUACAGAGAGCUGUAAGCUGGCACGUGCUUGCUCGGAAUCAACUCUGGUCUUCUGAAAGAGUUGCCAGUGCUCUAAUCCAGUGACUCAUCUCUCCAUCCUCUACAUAAGUAACUUCUGAGCAUUUCACACUGUGUAGAAUAUAAUAAAUAUCUAGAACAGCAAGUGGA